GUCUACAGCUAUACCACCCUGAACGCGCCCGAUCUCGUCUGAUCUCAGAAGCUCAGCAGGGUUGGGCCUGGUUAGUACUUGAAUGGGAAGAAAGUUUAGUUUUUUUCAAACC
rnacentral:rRNA from 1 species